GUGCUUGCUUCAGCAGCAUAUACACUAAAAUUGGAAAGAAACAGAGAUUAGAAUGGCCCCUGCGCAAGGAUGACACGCAAAUUCGUGAAGCUUUCCAUAUUUUU
ensembl:snRNA U6 U6 spliceosomal RNA